GGCCGCCGCGGGCCUUGGGUGCGAGCCCUUCCGCUCCUGGGUGCGAGCCCCUCCGGGGUCCGCGCGCGCGGCCUGGCGUUCCGCCGCUGCUGACGCGGCGUUCUGAGUGCUGUGACUCGUUCGCCGACUGGGAAGCCGAGUUCCUGCGAGUCCCGCUCCCUCAGCCCCAUCCUGCCCGGGGUCCGCACGCGAGCCCGGGAAAAGGUGGAAAAGGAAGGAAAGGUCUCAAGUUAAAUAAGGCUCCGCUUUAGCGCUUCCGGGAAGGCUGGAGCCUGGUCACCGGGAUCCUUGGUCGUUAGUGAUUUGUCUUCAGGCAGUCAUACCAGUUCUAGAAAGACACUAUCCAGUCUGCUGCGAAAGCCGCGCUAUAUCAAGCCUAAUGGCUGUUGGAAUCAGAGAAAUUAGAAAAAUGAAAGAAUUACACAUGGACAUACAGAACAUUUUUCAUUACCACAAAAAGCAAGCCUGUAACCAUCAUCAGUCACUUCCACUCCUCAGCCUCUGGUGACCACUGAUCUACUUUCUGUUUCUACGGAUUUGCCUACUCUGGACAUUUCAGAUAACUAGAAUCAUGCAGUAUGUGGUCUUCUCUGACUUCGCACAGUUCUCAUGGUUCAUUCAUGCUGUAGUAUGUAUCAGUACUUCAUUCCUUUUUAUUGCCAAAUAAUAUUCUAUUAUAUGGAAUACCAUCAUUUUGAUAAUCCAUUUAUCAGUUGCUGGACUUCUGGUUUGUUUUUACUUCUGUGUAGCUAUAUUUUAAUUUCUCUUGGUUAUAUACCUUGGAGUAAAAGUGCUGAGUCAUAAGGUAACACUAUGUUUAAUUUUUUGAGGAAUGAAGUGUUUUCUAAAGUGGCUGCACUAUUUCAGAAUACCAUCAGUAACUUAUGAAGGUUCCAAUUUAUCCACAUCUCUCCCAACAUUUUUGUCUUUUUUAUUUUAGCCAUCCUACUUGGCGUAAAGUGGUAACUCACAGUGUUUUGAUUUGCAAAGCGCUGGUGACUAAUGAUGCUGAGUAUCUUUUGUGUGCCUGUUGAUCUGUGGUAUCUCCUCUGGAGAAAUGUCUAUUAAAAUCCUUUCCCCAUUUGAAA